rnacentral:rRNA from 1 species
CUACGGGUUGCAGCAGUGGGGAAUAUUGCACAAUGGGCGCAAGCCUGAUGCAGCCAUGCCGCGCGUAUGAAGAAGGCCUUCGGGUUGUAAAGUACUUUCAGCGGGGAGGAAGGGAGUAAAGUUAAUACCUUUGCUCAUUGACGUUACCCGCAGAAGAAGCACCGGCUAACUCCGUGCCAGCAGCCGCGGUAAUACGGAGGGUGCAAGCGUUAAUCGGAAUUACUGGGCGUAAAGCGCACGCAGGCGGUUUGUUAAGUCAGAUGUGAAAUCCCCGGGCUCAACCUGGGAACUGCAUCUGAUACGGGCAAGCUUGAGUCUCGUAGAGGGGGGUAGAAUUCCAGGUGUAGCGGUGAAAUGCGUAGAGAUCUGGAGGAAUACCGGUGGCGAAGGCGGCCCCCUGGACGAAGACUGACGCUCAGGUGCGAAAGCGUGGGGAGCAAACAGGAUUAGAUACCCUUGUAGUC